rnacentral:rRNA from 1 species
UAUCAACUUGUUGGUAAGGUAUUGGCUUACCAAGGUUGCAACGGGUAACGGGGAAUCAGGGUUCGAUUCCGGAGAGGGAGCCUGAGAAACGGCUACCACAUCCAAGGAAGGCAACAGGCGCGCAAAUUACCCAAUCUAGACAGUAGGAGGUGGUGAAGAGAAUUACUAGGUGGUGGCUCAAUGAGCUACCAGUUUGGAAUGAACGUAACUUAAGAAAUUCGAUGAGAAACAACUGGAGGGCAAGUCCUGGUGCCAGCAGCCGCGGUAAUUCCAGCUCCAGUAGUUUGCUUUAAAGUUGUUGCGUUUAAAACGCUCGUAGUUGGAUCACGCAGCAGUGUCCAGUAAUCUGUUGAUUGACUUCUCUCUGGUUGUGUCUGUCACGUUACGGCCUUUCGGAAGCUGUCGGCAACAGAUGUUAACGCUGGCCAUUGUUAGUUGCACGUGAGAUGAAUUGUUGGCCUUUGUUGAGCCGAUAUUCUCGUCUUGCGGAGUGUGCCUUGAAUAAAACAGAGUGCUCAAAGCAGGUUAUCGCCUGAAUGUUAUAGCAUGGAACGAACAAUCGUGUAUAUGUGUACAUCCUAUAACGGUGACGAGCCCCAGGCUUGUUGUUGUUAAGGGUGUGCACGGCACCCACCAAAGUAUGGCUGUUGGUUCCAUAUACGGUGA